GUUGGUAGCUCAGUGGUUAGAGCAGAGGACUCAUAAUCCUUUGGUCGUGGGUUCAAACCCCACCCGACC
rnacentral:tRNA from 1 species